rnacentral:rRNA from 1 species
UACGUAGGGGGCGAGCGUUGUCCGGAUUUAUUGGGCGUAAAGAGCGCGUAGGCGGUCAGGUAGGUCUGCUGUGAAAACUCGAGGCUCAACCUCGAGACGUCGGCGGAAACCAUCUGGCUAGAGUCCGGAAGAGGAGAGUGGAAUUCCUGGUGUAGCGGUGAAAUGCGCAGAUAUCAGGAAGAACACCCGUGGCGAAGGCGGCUCUCUGGAACGCAACUGACGCUGAGACGCGAAAGCGUGGGGAGCAAACAGG